UACACUCACUCACUCACUCCACUGGGCUGUGAAAAAUUAUAGAUUUACUUGGGAUUUUCUAAUGAUGUUUAUACAUAAUAAGUUUAUGGCUGUCAUAGCAUAUUCUUUUAUAAUUUGUGCAGAGUUUUGAUCAAAAGAAGAAUGGAAGAUUCAGAUUAGAUGAUUUCAUAUCUCUUUGUAUAUUUUUGCAGUCAGCUCGUAAUAUGUUUGAUUCAUUUGAUACUGCUAAGCAGGGCCGGGUGACUCUUGAUCUCAACCAAUUUGUAUAUUGCAUGCUUUGAGGUUUUGGGCUUGGUCUGGGUGGCUCUGUGAUUUUUGAAUUAGGCUUGGCGGCUUUAACACUUUUGGAAUUUAGCCUUGGAAGU